rnacentral:rRNA from 1 species
CAAGUCGAGCGAUGAGGUCUCCUUCGGGGGGCACAUCAGCGGCAGACGGGUGAGUAACACGUAGGUAACCUACCCCAGAGACAGGGAUAACCCUAGGAAACGAGGGCUAAUACCGGAUGACCUCCGGAAGGAGGAAAGGCUCAGGCGCUCUGGGAGGGGCUUGCGGCCCAUCAGCUAGUUGGUAGGGUAAAGGCCUACCAAGGCGAAGACGGGUAGGGGGUGUGAGAGCACGGNCCCCCACAAUGGGACUGAAACACGGCCCAUACUCCUACGGGAGGCAGCAGCAGGGAAUAUUGCACAAUAGGCGAAAGCCUGAUGCAGCGACGCCGCGUGAGUGAAGAAGGCCUUCGGGUCGUAAAGCUCUUUUGUAGGGGAAGAGGAAGGACGGUACCCUAAGAAGAAGCGUCGGCUAACUACGUGCCAGCAGCCGCGGUAAGACGUAGGACGCGAGCGUUAUCCGGAAUUACUGGGCGUAAAGGGCCAGCAGGCGGCUUGGUAAGUUGUGCGUGAAAGCCUCGUGCUCAACGCGAGGAGGCCGGACAAUACUGUCAAGCUAGAGGGCAUCAGAGGGGAGUGGAAUUCCCGGAGUAGCGGUAAAAUGCGCAGAUAUCGGGAGGAACACCGAUGGCGAAGGCAGCUCCCUGGGAUGCACCUGACGCUAAGAGGCGAAAGCUAGGGGAGCGAACAGGAUUAGAGACCCUGGUAGUCCUAGCUGUAAACGCUGG